GAAUCUUCCGCAAUGGACGAAAGUCUGACGGAGCAACGCCGCGUGAGUGAUAAAGGUUUUCGGAUCGUAAAACUCUGUUGUCAGGGAAGAAAACGUACGGGAGUAACUGUCCGUACCUUGACGUUACCUGACCAGAAAGCCACGGCUAACUACAUUCCAGCAGCCGCGGUAACACGUAGGUGGCAAGCGUAUUCCGGAAUUCUUGGGCGUAAAGCGCUCGCAGGCGGUCUUUUAAGUCUGAUGUGAAAGCCCACGGCUCAACCGUGGAAGGUCAUUGGAAACUGGAAGACUUGAGUGCAGAAGAGAAGAGCGGAAUUCCACGUGUAGCGGUGAAAUGCGUAGAGAUGUGGAGGAACACCAGUGGCGAAGGCGGCUCUUUGGUCUGUAACUGACGCUGAGGCGCGAAAGCGUGGGGAGCAAACA
rnacentral:rRNA from 1 species